CUCAGGCAAGGGGACCCCUAUUUAUUUAUCCUUGUUAGGCCUUGUCAUUACUUCAUGGGAGAGCUAUGCAAGGGGGCUUCAUCAGAGGUUUCGAAGUGGGGAUUUUUAUGAGAGGAAGAUUGCUGGUGGCUACGUAAUCUAUGCAGAUGAUUGGAUCAUUUUUUGCGAGGCAGAUGAGGAUCAAUCAAGUGGGAAAUUUCAGGGAAGUGAACCGGUUGCCAGUCUUGUUGAGCUGCGAGAUUGGUAAAUUACCAUCAAUUUAUCUAGAGAUGCCACUUGGUGCUCAGUUAAAACAAAGCCUGUGUGGAAUAGCGUGGCAGAGAAGUUUGAAAGAAGGUUGGCAGGGUGGAAAAGGCAAUAUUUAUCAAAAGGGGAAGGCAAAGUCUAAUCAAGAGUACUCUCUCCCGCUUGCAAACAUAUUUUUUUUCUCUGCUCACCAUCUAUAUGGCAGUGGUAAGCAGGUUGGAAAAGCUUCAAAGAGACUUCUUGCGGGUAAGUGAUUCUGGAAGAAGAAAAUACAACUUGGUCAAGUAGGAAAGUGUGUUCACCAGUCUUGUUUGGUGGGUUGGGUACUUCGAUGCUUCAGACUUGCAAUUAGACCUUGUUAGUAAAACUUGUCUUCAGAGACUUGCUGCAGAGAGAAUCCUUCUAAAAGAAGUUUGUUCAAGCCAAGUACUGCAGCUCAGUAGGUGCUGGUUUUCCAAUGAGAUUAGCCACUCCUGUGGGGGAUACUUUGUGCAAAAGGCAUCAUGAAAGGUAAGGAAGAGUUCUCAAAGUUUAUUGGAUUUAAAGUUUGGGAUAUUGGUAGAAUUAGUUGUUUUGGACCAUGGUGCAAUGACACAUCUCUAAAAGAUAGUUUUCCACUUCUCUGAGAUGGUUGAGUUCCCCAAGAGUCGUGGAAUUUCAUUUGGCAGUGGUUUGAUGUUCAGUUGCUCAUGCCAGAGUGUGAAAUCAGUUUUGGAGCCCUUGAAUUUCGGCGACAUUUCUGGAGGAAGAAAGGAACAGUGGGGUGUGCAGGUUUUGGUGUUUAUGGAGAUAGGGAUGAUGUGGCUUUUGAUGGGAUAGAGAUAUUAGCUCCGAAAUUGGAGUAUAUAUUUAGCCAAACUGUCUUACUGGAAUGCGAGAAAUUUAUGGCAUGACCCUUUAUCCUGUAUGGAAUUUUUUGACAUAUGAUUGCCUUGUAUAGCUCCUUUUUGUUCUUCAGCUGGCGCCACUCUGCUGCUCUUUGAUGGGUCUUUAAAAAAAAGAAAAAUAUCCAAAAGUGGUCAAUAUUGAACUGUCGGUUUUACAUUAACUUGUCUCUUAGAAAAAAAGGAAAAGUUAAGGGUCUCUUUGGUAUCGUUGCUGUUUUUUGUUUCUGUUUUUGCCUAAUG